CGAGUAGGCGGUGGAGCAAGUCUGAGGUGGAAUCCUACGGCUUAACCGUAGAACUGCCUUGGAAACUGUUUUACUUGAGUCAGUGAGGGGAGGGCGGAAUUCCUGGUGUAGCGGUGAAAUGCGUAGAUAUCAGGAGGAAGGCCUGUGGCGAAAGUGGCCCUCUGGCACUGUACUGACGCUGAGGCGCGAAAGCGUGGGGAGCAAACAGGAUUAGAUACCCUGGUAGUCC
rnacentral:rRNA from 1 species